AGUAACACGUAAACAACCUGCCUUCAGGAUGGGGACAACAGACGGAAACGACUGCUAAUACCGAAUAAGUUCCAAGAGCCGCAUGGCCCAUGGAAGAAAAGGUGGCCUCUACCUGUAAGCUAUCGCCUGAAGAGGGGUUUGCGUCUGAUUAGCUGGUUGGAGGGGUAACGGGCCCACCAAGGCGACGAUCAGUAGCCGGUCUGAGAGGAUGAACGGCCACACUGGAACUGAGACACGGUCCAGACUCCUACGGGAGCAGCAUG
rnacentral:rRNA from 1 species